GGACGAACGCUGGCGGCGUGCCUAAUACAUUCAAGUCGAACGCUUCUUUCCUCCCGAGUGCUUGCACUCAAUUGGAAAGAGGAGUGGCGGACGGGUGAGUAACACGUGGGUAACCUACCCAUCAGAGGGGGAUAACACUUGGAAACAGGUGCUAAUACCGCAUAACAGUUUAUGCCGCAUGGCAUAAGAGUGAAAGGCGCUUUCGGGUGUCGCUGAUGGAUGGACCCGCGGUGCAUUAGCUAGUUGGUGAGGUAACGGCUCACCAAGGCCACGAUGCAUAGCCGACCUGAGAGGGUGAUCGGCCACACUGGGACUGAGACACGGCCCAGACUCCUACGGGAGGCAGCAGUAGGGAAUCUUCGGCAAUGGACGAAAGUCUGACCGAGCAACGCCGCGUGAGUGAAGAAGGUUUUCGGAUCGUAAAACUCUGUUGUUAGAGAAGAACAAGGACGUUAGUAACUGAACGUCCCCUGACGGUAUCUAACCAGAAAGCCACGGCUAACUACGUG
rnacentral:rRNA from 1 species